GUGUUUUGGUCCAUUUUACAUAGACAUGGGUACUGCAGCCCUUUCAGCUGCUGAACUCAACAAAUUCCUGCACUGCAUUCCUUAGCAUUACAGCUGAAUUAGUACAAUAGCACUGAUUUCCAAGGGAACCACAAAAAGCAACUCCGUAGCUCUCCCAUUUGUAUUCAAGUCACCAAGAAUCAGGACUUGUCCGUCCUUUCCAUCCACUUCCCAAGAAAUCUAGACAGAACAAGGCAUCUCAGCAAGCACUCCCUGACAGCUGAUUAGUAAAGGUCUACGCUACUGGCACCCUGGGCCAAAAAAAAAGCCACGGAGAAUGCUCAGGAGGAUGGGCCAACAAUCCCUUCAGCCCUUUUGUAGAGCACCUGCACUGUGAUCCAGACCGAUUCUUCUGAGCACUGAAUCCUUCCAGAGCAACAACACCACUGUCUUUAUCAAGAUGCUCCUUACCUCCUGAGCACCAGCUCAGGAAGGCUUCUAAUACUUUAUCACUGACUGGAAGGACGAGGAGCAAUCUCACCCACUCUUAGUGGAAGGCCAAGUCCAACAACAUGACUUGUACAGACAAAAAUUACAACUUACUUGGAUUUCCACUCUCAAAACACAGCAGCCCCCAACCAGCCUUCUUACCCUCUGGUUGAAGAUAUCUUCCCACAAGCAGAUGGUGACAGGCAUCAGGAUUAGAAAUGCUUUCCCUGAUGUACACUGCUUCCUGCCUGCUUCUCUAAAAUUGAAUCCUUGCCUCUAUAACACAGAGCAUCUGGUCUUCAGCAUCCAAUAUCCUGAAGGAAUGAGGAACUUGAAUGGCAGGUCACCGUGAUCCUCUUAAUUCAAGACUACAUCUUUUCCUGAUGCUAAAAAAUGCCAUCUGGGACACCCCCACAGGGCUUUGGAUAUGCCAAAUGUCAACUGCAGGAAAUCUGAAAUACACCACCAGUAGCACAAAUAAAUCACCAAUUUCUCUACCUCAUCCAACCAUUUACACACCUGAGCAGCCUUCUCAGAUGAUGUCUCACAAUGGAUUCUUGGGAAAACAGCUAUCAAACUACCACCUCAGCAAACUACACAGUAAAUCCAUGGACAUCUAUAUUGCUCAGCUCCAGUCAGCCUACCAUUGAUUGAUUUACAGUGCCAUUUAGGUUAUUGUUCUUGGAACACUAUUUUCCUCUCACUCGGCCAAUUCAAGCAACAGAUACUCAUCUCAAUGUUUCUUCUUUUUCUCAGUUCAUCGCAGCUCUUUGCAUUUAACCAUUUUCCUAUUGUGAUAACACAGACUCUACUCCCAGUGACAAAUGUGUUUCCACUGGUUAACUUCUCGUGUGUUGCCCGAUCUUCCCUCUGCAGGCCCUCUUUGGACACAGAGGAAAAGGCUACCCAGGAGCAGCUGGUACUUGCAAUACAUCCUAUUUUCUCUUCUGUCAUUUCGUUUCUCAACUCCCAAUAAUUUUUAAGGAGGACACAAUUUGUGAUGCCCCACAACAAAGGCUGGCUUGGUUUGUUGGUUGUGGGUUUUGUUUUUUUCCCUUCGCCUAGGGCUUCAGUCUAUUAGCCUAUUGUCUAUCCUGGGUCAUCAGAAAUGUUUUCUUUUCUUUUCAAAUAAUUAAACAGCAGCAUCAUUCACUGCUUUGGAUUUU